GAAGCUCCUCGGCUUAAGGAGAACCAACCAGGGUUCCUAAAUCAAUGUGCGAGCAUUGGCACAUGUGUCCCUUCCGUGGCUCCCACAUGCACCUGAGCUUCAGGUGGUGCGGUUGCCAGCCCCCCCACCGUACCCCCAAGCACCCCUGUGAGGGCUCUAAGGUCCCAGAGCUGAUCCCAGACCCUGUACAAGUGAAGGUUGGUACUGAGCCCAGUUGGGUGCUGUGGAGUGUGACAAGAAAUGGUUCAGAAAACCCGAGUGCCUCUCUGGAGACGAUUUAAUGAAGGCUGGGACCAGGAGACCCUGACUUUUGGGGGAGACAGACAUAUGGCUUUUCUAGGUGGGAACCACUUCUGGACCCAGAUUUCAGGUCCACUGUAACUACGAAUACUCCCAUCACAUCGGUACCCACCUCCGUGUCCUGCAAAGGAGGGGAAAUGCAGAGAGGUCGGCUCCCAGGGACUCAUUUUGAACUUCCUGGAUGGCAUAAGGGCAAGUGGUAACUUGACUUAAAAGAAACAGAGGAAUGGGGAACGGAUCUGAAAGCAACCAACCAGCACGGCUGUAUUCCACAGACAGUGCCUCCUGGUUACACGACUGUGUCUGCUUACAGCCCCCUCGCCCUCCUUUUUUUUAGUCUUACCUGUUUCACACCUUCUCAGGCUUGCAGAGGGGAGGCAGUGGAAGGACCCCUGCAAGAACUGGUGGGACCAACACAGUCCUUUGUCCUACCCUUGUGGUAGUGCCCAUCACGGUCAGCCCCACGCUAGGUCACCCCAGGAAGCAUUUUCAAAUGUCAGCAGGGCCAGCGGAGGGGCUAGGUGCCAUCUGUGAGGAUCUGUGUCUCCCCCCCCCCCCCCAGACCGGGUUUUAUUUUCUGCCUUCUCUCCGCUGGCCCAGCCAAGAGAGAGGAGAUGAUAUUCCCAACCCCCCUACCU
rnacentral:lncRNA from 1 species